AUGUGAUAAGUGACACUCCGAUUCCUCGGCGCCGUCCACAUCGGCCUUACGACUGCGCGCUACGUUUUGUGGCC
rnacentral:sRNA from 8 species